UUCAUUGGAUCAUGCUAAAUUUCAUCUAAUGGCUAUUAUUAUUAAUAUGAAAUAAAUGGCCUAACAUCACCUCCUAUCAACCCUAGCAUUUUCCAUCAGCCGCUUUUCCAAAAUCCCACCCUUCUUCAACGCGAGGCAAGAACAACAUCAUUGUCCCGACAGUCGCUCAUCUUUCUGGGUCGUUUUUUGUUAUUAACAAUUUUUUGUUAUCGGCGACGAGUUAUCCGAUCGGUGUUUUUUGUUAUUAACAAUUUUUCAGGUUUGUGAAAUGAAUUAGUUCUUGAAUACUGACCUAAUUUUUUAUCGGUGACAGGUUGCGGUGGCGAACAGGUGCAAUGGAGGCCGACAAACCCUUCAGUACAGGUUGCGACCGCGACGACGAAAGCAUUCCGUCUUGGCACUCGUUUUUUGUAAUCAAUCGAACUAGUUCCUGAUUGGCGACCUAAUUUUGUGGCGGUGACAGGUUGGAAUGGCGGUAGCCAACGGCAACAGAUUUUCCGAUUCUCUAUUAUCGAAAGGUGGGGUGAGGUCGUAUGUACUUGGUUCAAUGUCAUUGUCAUUGCAUUGUCGAAUCACCAAACUAGUUCGUGUUUUGUUGGGGUUCUCUCUACGAUUGAUUAGUACGAUAGCGAGUUGGAAUGUUGUUCAGAUUUAGGGGAUGUUGACCGGGAACUGGCUCAUCCGAGUUUGAUAUUCUUGCAAUUUUAGUUCAUCGUAUUCCACUCGUUUAAGUAAUCCACCAUUUUUGUCAUGUGUGUGGUCUGCUAGCUCACCCUUUUGCUAGUUGUUUUUUGGUGUCCAUUUUAUUCACCUUUUGCUAGUUGUUUUUUAUGUAAGGUUAACCGUACCCCCUGUUUGGAGUUGCCUAAAUUUGUGCCUACUUGUAUAGUCUACUAGUUCACCCUUUUACUAGAUUUUUGUAUCCAAUCGUACUAAUUUUGCUGCAUCUCCAAUAUAGUGUAUGAUUAAACUAGUUCAAUUUGAUUGUUACUGAUGCAUCUCCAAUUGAUUGUUUGUGAUGUAUUUCUUGGAUUACAACUCAUCACUGUUUUCAUUUUUAUUCGAAUUCCUUGUUGUGCUAUGGGGCUCUUUUUUUACCAAAUUUUCUGGGCAUAUGGUGUACUAGUUCAAGUGGUUUGCAAAUUGUUUGCAUAGGUGUACUAAUUCCAAUGUGUUGUGAACCGGUUCGGUUGGAUGCAUUUGCUAUUGUUAUUUACUUGAACAAAUAUACCUUGGAAUGUAUUUGUUUGACUGAUUGAAUUUGCUGGUAGAAAUUUUUGGAUGAAAUGCAUUGUUUAAUAGUUUAGUCAUGAUGCUCAAUUUAUUAUUUUUAUAGUACUCAUUUAUGUGAUAUUUCAUGUAUAAUUACACUGUAGUAGGAAAAAAGUUUAUGAUAUUUUAUGUGUUUUAAACUUUUAUCUCAAUUUAGUGUCUCAGACCCAGUCGGGGUCCAUUUUAGGUCAUUUUGGAAUGGUUUUAAUAGAUUUCAGGUACACAAUGACAUCAAGGCACUAAUUGAAGCAAUACAAUGUAUGUGGAUGGUUUAGGACAACCAAUGAGAAGCAUUUUGACAUGUUCAAGGACCUUGAAUCUCGAUUUGGUCGGAAAACGUCGCAAUUUCGUUUUGAACAUAUCUUCUACCUCAGAAGUCCGAUUGAUGCAAGGGAGACGACAUUGGAAAGCUCAUUCAGUUUCCUACAAAUUUGAUCAGAGAGUUAUGUCAAUAUUUUCGCUUCCGGUCAAACUUGGCACUAUGUUCAAAGUGCCAUGUUUGACAUUUUCAUAGAGCCAACUUGACAAUUCAUUAAGGAAAUUUGGUCAAUUUAGCUAUAAUAACUUGUCAAACAUUGGGCUAUGACCAUAGCGUAAAUAUUGACAUUUUCAUAGAGCCAAUAUUGACAAUCCGAAAUUUAAAGGCUUUUUGGAAUUUCUAUUUAAAGCCGGUUCUCCUUCAUUCAAAGAGACCAUUUUCGACGAAAUUCAGAGGAUAGUUGAGAGACUUCGGAGCGACGAGAAUAAAUCGACUUCAAG
rnacentral:lncRNA from 1 species